CUUUAUAUAUAUGAGCAGUAGUUUUACUGCAGUGAGCAGAAAUUCACCCUUAAAGUGGGCCAAUGGAGUGAAGAAAUUAAAGAACCAUGGAUUAGAGCUCUCGUGAAAUUUUGGGCUGCAGUUACCAAAGCUUUCAUAGAAAUGGGUAGAUUUCUGCAAGCUGAAGAGAAGUUCAGGUAUAUCUAAAUAAAGAAAUAUUUAGGUCAACAUUUCAGACUUUAAAUCAAAAAAACAUCUCCUGACGACCUUGAGUUAAAGUCUACAGAAUUUAUUUUAAUCUCUCCUCAUUUGUUUUCCCUUCUGACCUUUGUAUGAUAAAGAUUUAGGGGUUAUAUAUAUAUAUAAAUAUAUAUAUAUAGUGCAACUGGUGAAUAAACAACUUUUAGCUGUGAUUUCAGCAAUUCCAUUAUCUGUUAAGACUUUUUUUUUUUUUAUUAGAUAAUUUAGCCAUACUUUCUCUAAACAUUAACCCUAAUGACUGUGUUUGAAACCAUCAUCUGCACCCUGACUGAGAAGUCACUCGAGCCACGAAUGGAUGCAAUCAUUUAACGGGAAUGUGCCUAAUUUUGGAAUUACUGGCAUCUGUACAUCAUUUCGGUGGUAAAUUACGGUUGGGAUAUGUUAACCCCAAAGUCAUCAUAAGGAGACUCAGAAACAGUUCAUGAUUUCCUGUGAUGAGAAACUUGUUUUCAUAUCCUGAAUGGAUUUUCAUAUCUUUGGAAGAAAAUCUUUCUUGUGUACAUACACAUUCUUCAUGUGAUCAAAGUGAGGUCCUGUUCCCUUCAGCUGCCUUCUGGACAUCACUGCCUCUCUGGUGGAACAGCAGAACAGAUGUUAACUACAGCAGUUGCUCUCAGUAAAUGGCUCACUUUCUGUAGUGGCUCAUCUACCUUCUGGCUGAGCAGAAGAACAAUCUGAUAUCAAUUGUAAUGCCAUCCUCAAAGCCAUCCUUCAAAUGUGUGGAGUGGGAGAAGUGAAGGGUAUGCAACAGACAGGCUCUCAUUUCUCAGCUGCUUUUUGUCUUCACUCACUGCUCCUUCCUCGUCAGUCAGCCACUUGCUGCCCUCAUCUCACACAGAAACCCCAGGAAAACCUUCCCAUGCAUUCCCUAGCAGGGGAUGCUCUCGUAGUCCAAACAUGAAUGUUGCCAGAGCCACAACCUGUUCCUUGUUCAGCUCAGCACAGCACAUCUAAGCAGAUGGAGACAGCUGCAACAUGAGAGUUGCACAAAACCCAAGAAGAAAUGAGCAAGAACGUACCAUCCAGCAGCAGCCCUGCAAAUAGGGAAAAGGGAGAAGCAAGUCUUGGGUUCUUGUCCCAUCUUCAGGGAUGGUUCAUGGAUUUUACAUUGAAAAAUGAUAGAAUAAAUGAUAAAAAAGAAGAAGAAGAAGAAGAAGAAGAAGAUGACAGAAGAAUCAAAUCUGGGAGUGGAAACAAGAUGUUCUCCUUCCAGGAAGAAGGAAGAAAGGAAGAGAGGGCCUGGGUUUAUUUUGCUUUCCUAACCCCAGAUGUCUUGUCCACUGUAACCACCAGCCUGUAGGAGAACCUACGAAGCAGCCCAAACCUGAAAUGGGGCCAACUUACAAGAAGUAAAUAAGGAUUCUUCAGUUCCAAAAGACAGCUCACCUAUGCAACACUGGCAUACUACAGUGGCUGCUCCAAAAGUAAUGCUUCCCAUUUUAUUUUGUUGGCAAACUAUGACAGAGACAGACAUUGAUACUAUGGCAGUACAGGUUGAACCUUUCCCCCGAUAUUCCAUUACAUUUUGUUGUUGUGCAACAGAUGGAAGCAGAGGGGCAGUCUGACAAAAUGGUGUCUUACAUGGAAGUAUGUGUGAAGCAAAGGUGUGUCACUGAAUUCCUCCAUGUGGAAAAAGCAUACUGACAUUCAUUAACGCUUGCUGAAUGUUUCUGGAGACCAAACAGUGGAUGUGAGCACAGUGAGGAGGGGACAGGACAGCACUCCAGCUCCUUCACACUGAGGCAGAGCUUUUCUGAAGGACUCAAGUCUGCAUUUGCACGCCUCAUUUUCUCAUAGUUCAACUUUGCUCCAUGACUUGUUUGUACAACAAAGGUAAGCAUGAAAUAGGCCUUGCUCCAGAGGAGGGUGUUUCUAAGGUAUUGCUUAUAUACAUAUGAAUAAACACAGUAUAUUAAUUUUCUGUAGACUAGCAUUAUGUUCAUUAUUGCAGUAAAAACUUAUGCAGAAUGUAAACUCUCAGAUGUGAUAAAACAGUAUCACCCUUUGAAGACUAGUUUCACAUUGAAUACACUGUAUUUUUAAAAGCUGUUAAAUUACGUGUCAGUUGUAAACAUUCUUUGACUAUCCUGCAGCUAAAACAAGAUGGAAGUUUACAUUUAAAAUAAGGAACAAAUCCCUGAAUAUUUCACCCUCAACCUUGUAAGCAGCUCCAUGGUGCCAGGAUGCAUUACCUUCACCUGGAAUCCACCAGAUCACAGUAAUCCAUAUAUCAUAGAACCAUGGAAUGGUUUGGGUUGGAAGGGACCUUUAGGAUCAUCUAGUUCCACUCCCCUUCAAUAGGCAGGGACACCUCCCCCUAGACCAGGUCGCUCACAGCCCCAUCCAGCCUGGCCUUGAAUGCUUCCAGGGAGGGGGCAUUCACAACCUCUCUGGACAACCUGUUUCACUGUCUCACCACGUUCACAGUAAAGAAUUUCUUCCUAAUAUCUAGUCUAAAUCUACAUUUUUCCAGUUUAAAACCACUUCCCCUCAUCCUGUCACUACAUGCCCUUACAAAAAGUCCCUCCCCAGUGCAUAUAUGUGUAUUGAUAAAAGAUAUACCCACAAAAAAUCCUAUUAAAAAGUUAUAGAAGAAGGAUUCAGCCACACCCUUUCUUUCCCAAAUCAGAAUAUUACUCUUUUAUUGCAGCAAGACCACUCUAGUAUGUCAGUGGAAAUUUUCAUGAAUUGAUAUAUUUGAUGAAGGUCCUCUUCAUCAAAUGGAUCCUCUCCUCAGUGUAGGACUUCAAUUUUGUUCAGUGCAUACUGCAAUCAUCCCAUUAUGAAAAAAAGAUUCUUGAAAAUGUGAAUGAAAUGAAGCUGAUGCAGUGUUGGUGUUGUGAGUAUGCCUGUACUUAACCUCAAAGUAGCAUUAUUUACUGCUUUCCUGCUGAAAAACUGGAUAAAAGUUGAUGUAACUCAUACAUCAAUUACAUUUCAGUGCCACUUAGACUAUCAAAAUCACUGAGUCAGUGAGACAACUCACAUGAAAAUAUCUUUUGCUAGAUGGUUAGGGUUACAUGACAAACUUAUCAUUUUCAAAACUUUAAAUUGGAUUUCAUGUCAUAUUUAUUGUGAACUGCCAAUGAAGUCAGAAAAAUACCUGUUUAAAAAAAACCCAUACUUCUACGCUCUCCAAUAGACAGACAACCAUAGAUUGCAAACUACUGGUCUUCAUCUAAUCUACCCAGAAUUUAGAUGACCUAGAGGUGAUGAGAAUUGUUUGGUAAUGUUUUAAAAUGUUUUGGGAAAUAUUUGUAAAAUUAUUUGAGUUCCUAAGAGAGAAAAGUGUCACUACUGUCCAAACUGUUGCUGUUAUGUAUAGAUACUAAUUGCAGUGUGUUUCACAAACAGGUGAAACUCAACUGUAUUGGUUAAAGUAACAUUCACAAACGAGAGAUACAAAAAUGUAGAUAGAGCUAUCCAAAUAUGUUGUGCAAAGCCAAAAGAAUUAUAUAGGAUUAUAUAGAUAGAUAGAUAUAGAUAGAUAGAAUUAUAUCGUAGC
ensembl:lncRNA